CGCGUCCCGCGGCUCCCCCUCAGUGUUCUCCCCCCAGGAAGUACAUAUGGCGGACGUACCACUUAACCUACGCCGGAGAGAAACUGGCGGACGACAGGAAGAAGCUGAGAGAGUACGGCAUCCGAAACCGGGAUGAGGUCAGCUUCAUAAAGAAACUUCGGAAGUGACCUGUCAGAGAGAGCAGAGAAUCCAGCCGUACCAAGACCAGACUGUGGAUUCAGCACUUCCCUGGAGGAAGAGGUUGUAACAUUUCAAAGAGAAACAACCUCCAGUUGAAUGGACAUUCUCAUGGGUUUUGCAGGUGGUAUUUGAAAUGUCUGCCUCUGAGCUGUAUGUGGAAUGUGUUUUCAGUGAUUAAAGAGAUCCUGUAGUUUUC